rnacentral:rRNA from 1 species
GACGAACGCUGGCGGCGUGCUUAACACAUGCAAGUCGAACGGAAAGGCCCUGCUUUUGUGGGGUGCUCGAGUGGCGAACGGGUGAGUAACACGUGAGUAACCUGCCCUUGACUUUGGGAUAACUUCAGGAAACUGGGGCUAAUACCGGAUAGGAGCUCCUGCUGCAUGGUGGGGGUUGGAAAGUUUCGGCGGUUGGGGAUGGACUCGCGGCUUAUCAGCUUGUUGGUGGGGUAGUGGCUUACCAAGGCUUUGACGGGUAGCCGGCCUGAGAGGGUGACCGGCCACAUUGGGACUGAGAUACGGCCCAGACUCCUACGGGAGGCAGAAGUGGGGAAUAUUGCACAAUGGGCGGAAGCCUGAUACAGCAACGCCGCGUGCGGGAUGACGGCCUUCGGGUUGUAAACCGCUUUCGCCUGUGACGAAGCGUGAGUGACGGUAAUGAGUAAAGAAGCACCGGCUAACUACGUG